GAGGUGGGAGGAUCACUUGAGUCUGGCAGGUUGGGGCUGCAGCGAGCUGAGAUCACACCACUGUACUCCAGCCUGAGUGACAGAGCAAGACCCUGUCUCA
rnacentral:miRNA from 1 species